ensembl:snRNA U2 U2 spliceosomal RNA
AUACGUCCCCCAUAGAGGGACUACAUAUUAAAUGGAUUUUUCGAACAGGGAGUCGGAAAUGGGGCUUGCUCCGUCCGCUCCACGCAUCGACCCGGUAUUGCAGUACCUCCGGGAACGGUGCAACACUU